rnacentral:rRNA from 1 species
GGACCCUGUCCUCCUAUUUUCAGUUGGUUUUGGCAGCGCGAGGACUAGGGUAAUGAUUAAUAGGGAUAGUUGGGGGCAUUAAUAUUUAAUUGUCAGAGGUGAAAUUCUUGGAUUUAUGAAAGAUUAACUUCUGCGAAAGCAUCUGCCAAGGAUGUUUUCAUUAAUCAAGAACGAAAGUUAGGGGAUCGAAGACGAUCAGAUACCGUCGUAGUCUUAACCAUAAACGAUGCCGACCAGCGAUUAGGAGACGUUGAAUACAAAACACCACCAUCGGCGCGGUCGUCCUUGGCGUUCGUGUUCACGCACGGGCGCGAGGGCGGCUUAGCCCGAUGGCACCGGUGAAUGACUCCCCUAGCAGCU